GAUGAACGCUGGCGGCGUGCCUAAUACAUGCAAGUCGAGCGAACGGACGAGAAGCUUGCUCCUCUGUUGUUAGCGUCGGACGGGUGAGUAACACGUGGAUCACCUACCUAUAAGACUGGGAUAACUUCGGGAAACCGGAGCUCAUACCGGAUAAUAUUUUGAACCGCAUGGUUCAAAAGUGAAAGACGGCCUUGCUGUUACUUAUCGAUGGAUCCGCGCUGCAUUAGCUAGUUGGUAAGGUAACGGCUUACCAAGGCAACGAUGAAUAGCCGACAUGAGAGGGAAAUAAGCCACACUGGAAAUAAGACACAGUCCAGAGUCCAACAGGAGGAGGCAGUAGGGAAAAUUACGCAAUGGGAGAAAGCCUGACAGAACAGCGACACGUCAAGGAAGAAGAUCUUAGGAUCGUAAAACGCUGUUAGUAAGGAAGAAAAUAUGUGUAAGUAACAGUGCAAAACUUAACGGUACCGAAACGGAGAACCAAGGCUAAAUACGUG
rnacentral:rRNA from 1 species